UACGUAGGGUGCAAGCGUUGUCCGGAAUUAUUGGGCGUAAAGAGCUCGUAGGCGGUCUGUCGCGUCGGCUGUGAAAACCCGGGGCUCAACCCCGGGCCUGCAGUCGAUACGGGCAGACUAGAGUGCGGUAGGGGAGACUGGAAUUCCUGGUGUAGUGGUGGAAUGCGUAGAUAUCGGGAGGAACACCAGUGGCGAAGGCGGCUUCCUGGACCGGUUCUGACACUGAGGAGCGAAAGCGUGGGGAGCGAUCCGG
rnacentral:rRNA from 1 species